GAUGAACGCUGGCGGCGUGCCUAAUACAUGCAAGUCGAGCGAACAGACGAGGAGCUUGCUCCUCUGACGUUAGCGGCGGACGGGUGAGUAACACGUGGAUAACCUCCCUAUAAGACUGGGAUAACUUCGGGAAACCGGCGCUAAUACCGGAUAAUAUAUUGAACCGCAUGGUUCAAUAGUGAAUGACGGUUUUGCUGUCACUGAUAGAUGGAUCCGCGCCGCAUUAGCUAGUUGGUAAGGUAACGGCUUACCAAGGCAACGAUGCGUAGCCGACCCGAGAGGGUGAUCGGCCACCCUGGAACUGAGACACGGUCCAGACUCCUACGGGAGGCAGCAGUAGGGAAUCUUCCGCAAUGGGCGAAAGCCUGACGGAGCAACGCCGCGUGAGUGAUGAAGGUCUUCGGAUCGUAAAACUCUGUUAUUAGGGAAGAACAAAUGUGUAAGUAACUAUGCACGUCUUGACGGUACCUAAUCAGAAAGCCACGGCUAACUACGUG
rnacentral:rRNA from 1 species